CCUACGGGAGGCAGCAGUGGGGAAUAUUGCGCAAUGGGCGAAAGCCUGACGCAGCGACGCCGCGUGAGGGAUGAAGGUCUUCGGAUCGUAAACCUCUGUCAGCAGGGAAGAACGGUCACUGUGCUAAUCAGCAGUGAAUUGACGGUACCUGACUAAGAAGCCCCGGCUAACUACGUGCCAGCAGCCGCGGUAAUACGUAGGGGGCAAGCGUUAUCCGGAUUUACUGGGUGUAAAGGGAGCGUAGACGGUAUGGCAAGUCUGAAGUGAAAGCCCAGGGCUUAACCCUGGGACUGCUUUGGAAACUGGUAGACUAGAGUGCUGGAGAGGUAAGUGGAAUUCCUAGUGUAGCGGUGAAAUGCGUAGAUAUUAGGAGGAACACCAGUGGCGAAGGCGGCUUACUGGACAGUAACUGACGUUGAGGCUCGAAAGCGUGGGUAGCAAACAGGAUUAGAUACCCCGGUAGUC
rnacentral:rRNA from 1 species